AAACUACUCCCUCCGUUCGGAAUUACUUGUCACAGAAAUGGAUGUAUCUAGACGUAUUGUAGAUACAUCCAUUUCUGUGACAAAUAAUUCCGAACGAAGGGAGUAAAUU
rfam:Triticum urartu cultivar G1812 contig287567, whole genome shotgun sequence.